rnacentral:misc_RNA from 1 species
UCCCCGUUACCGGGGCAGUAUGAUUAGAAAAAUUCAACUAAUCACAAGGGUUGCGCUCGUUGAUGGACUUAACCAAACAUCUCACGACACGAGCUGACGACGGCCAUGCAGCACCUGUCACCGAGUUCCAAAAGGCACACUCUGCUUUCGCAGAACUUCUCGGGAUGUCAAGCCCUGGUAAGGUUUAUCGUUUACCGUCGAAUUAAAGAACAUGCUCCACCGCUUGUGCGGGUCCCCGUCAAUUCCUUUAUGUUUUAGCCUUGCGGCCGUACUCCACAGGCGGGAUGCUUAACGCGUUAGCUUCGCUACGGAAGGGGUCGAUACCCCCCACAGCUAGCAUCCAUCGUUUACGGCGUGGACUAC